AUUGAACGCUGGCGGCAGGCCUAACACAUGCCAGUCGAGCGAGCGGCGGACGGGUGAGUAAUGGAUGGGGACAGCCCGAUAGAGGGGGGUAACUACUGGAAACGGGGGCAAAUACCGCAUAAUGUCGGAUAACCCAUAUGGGAUUAGCUAGUAGGUAAGGUAAUGGCUUAACUAGGCGACGCUCCCUAGCUGGUCGGAGAGUGUGAUCAGCCACACUGGAACUGAGACACGGCCCAGCCUCCUACGGAGGCAGCAGUUGGGAAUAUUGCACAAUGGGCUCAAGCCUGAUGCAGCCAUGCCGCGUGUAUGAAGCAGGCCCUAGGGUUGUAAAGUACUUUCAGUCGGGAGGCGUUACCGACAGAAGAAGCACCGGCUAACUCCGUGCCAGCAGCCGCGGUAAUAC
rnacentral:rRNA from 1 species